UUUCUGUUUUCUACUGCACAGGAGCAAAAACCAAAAAAUGUCUCGUGCUAAGUAACGAGACAAAAUGAAAAUGUCUCGUGGCUAGGGACGAGCUAAAAACAUAAAAGUCUCCUCUAAAUCCAGCAAGUGUUAGGAAGCAAAAAAGGGGCUAAGAUUCAACCCCCCCUUCUCUUAGCCACUGAAACCAUCAAUUGAUAUUUGCAGUUACUUAUU